AGUUUGAUCCUGGCUCAGGAUGAACGCUGGCGGUAUGCUUAACACAUGCAAGUCGAACGGAGUACUUAGGUACUUAGUGGCGGACGGGUGAGUAACGCGUGAGAAUCUGGCUUCAGGUCGGGGACAACCACUGGAAACGGUGGCUAAUACCGGAUGUGCCGCAAGGUAAAAGGCUUGCCGCCUGAAGAUGAGCUCGCGUCUGAUUAGCUAGUAGGUGGGGUAAAAGCCUACCUAGGCGACGAUCAGUAGCUGGUCUGAGAGGAUGAUCAGCCACACUGGGACUGAGACACGGCCCAGACUCCUACGGGAGGCAGCAGUGGGGAAUUUUCCGCAAUGGGCGAAAGCCUGACGGAGCAAUACCGCGUGAGGGAGGAAGGCUCUUGGGUUGUAAACCUCUUUUCUCAGGGAAGAACACAAUGACGGUACCUGAGGAAUAAGCAUCGGCUAACUCCGUGCCAGCAGCCGCGGUAAUACGGAGGAUGCAAGCGUUAUCCGGAAUGAUUGGGCGUAAAGCGUCCGCAGGUGGCUAUGUAAGUCUGCUGUUAAAGAGUGAGGCUCAACCUCAUAAGAGCAGUGGAAACUACAUGGCUAGAGUGCGUUCGGGGUAGAGGGAAUUCCUGGUGUAGCGGUGAAAUGCGUAGAUAUCAGGAAGAACACCGGUGGCGAAAGCGCUCUGCUAGGCCGCAACUGACACUG
rnacentral:rRNA from 1 species